GACGCUAACAUUACACUCAAAACUAAGGAGAAAUACAGACAUAAACCCCCCAAAUGUUCGCUCUCGUUUCCCAGGAUGCCCUGCGCGGGAGAACGCUAACACUGUCUUUUGCGCCGACGUUACAAUAUUAAUGCAAUAGGCUAC